GUGGGGAAUAUUGGACAAUGGGCGCAAGCCUGAUCCAGCCAUGCCGCGUGAGUGAUGAAGGCCUUAGGGUUGUAAAGCUCUUUUGUCUGGGAAGAUAAUGACUGUACCGGAAGAAUAAGCCCCGGCUAACUUCGUGCCAGCAGCCGCGGUAAUACGAAGGGGGCUAGCGUUGUUCGGAAUCACUGGGCGUAGAGCGCACGUAGGCGGACCAUUAAGUCAGGGGUGAAAGCCUGGAGCUCAACUCCAGAACUGCCUUUGAUACUGAUGGUCUCGAGUAUGGAAGAGGUUGGUGGAACUGCGAGUGUAGAGGUGAAAUUCGUAGAUAUUCGCAAGAACACCGGUGGCGAAGGCGGCCAACUGGUCCAUUACUGACGCUGAGGUGCGAAAGCGUGGGGAGCAAACAGGAUUAGAAACCCGGGUAGUCC
rnacentral:rRNA from 1 species